ACUGAACGCUGGCGGAAUGCUUUACACAUGCAAGUCGAGCGGCAGCGCGGGGCAACCUGGCGGCGAGCGGCGAACGGGGGAGUAAUGCAUCUGAAAAUGUCCAUGUCGUGGGGGAUAGCCCGUCGAAAGCCGGACUAAUACCGUAUACGCCCGAGAGGGGAAAGUGGGGGACCGCAAGGCACCCCGCGAGUGGGUUGGCCGAUGUCCGAUUAGCUUGUUGGUGAGGUAAAGGCUUACCAAGGCGAUGAUCGGUAGCUGGUCUGAGAGGAUGAUCAGCCACACUGGGACUGAGACACGGCCCAGACUCCUACGGGAGGCAGCAGUGGGGAAUUUUGGACAAUGGGGGCAACCCUGAUCCAGCCAUUCCGCGUGAGUGAAGAAGGCCUUCGGGUUGUAAAGCUCUUUUGUCCGGAGCGAAACGGUGGCGGUGAAUAUCCGCCACUACUGACGGUACCGGAAGAAUAAGCACCGGCUAACUUCGUGCCAGCAGCCGCCGUAA
rnacentral:rRNA from 1 species